CGCGUAGGUGGUAGUGAAAGUCUAUGGUGGAAUCUUAGGGCUUAACCCUAAAACUGCCUUGGAAACUUCAUUACUUGAGUCAGUGAGGGGAGGGUAGAAUUCCUGGUGUAGCGGUGAAAUGCGUAGAUAUCAGGAGGAAGGCCGGUGGUGAAGGCGGCCCUCUGGCGCUGAACUGACGCUGAGGCGCGAAAGCGUGGGUAGCAAAUAGGAUUAGAUACCCUGGUAGUCCACGCCCUAAACGGUGGGUACUAGGUGUAGGGCUCGUAAGGGUUCUGUGCCGAAGGGAAACCAUUAAGUACCCCGCCUGGGGAGUACGGCCGCAAGGUUGAA
rnacentral:rRNA from 1 species